AUUCUCAAGACAUGUACCGCUGACGUUGUCAGCAACAUGCCCGGGUAGUCAGGAUCUCACGACUACGAUGCGUCCCACGCAUUGAUCCCGCCCAAAGUUCGCAAAGCUUCCGGAGGCGCGAACGAUCGGUAUUGGUUACCGAUGGAUGC
rfam:Pseudomonas syringae pv. japonica str. M301072 contig22.6, whole genome shotgun sequence.